AGUGAACGCUGGCGGUAGGCCUAACACAUGCAAGUCGAACGGCAGCACAGGAGAGCUUGCUCUCUGGGUGGCGAGUGGCGGACGGGUGAGGAAUACAUCGGAAUCUACUUUUUCGUGGGGGAUAACGUAGGGAAACUUACGCUAAUACCGCAUACGACCUACGGGUGAAAGCAGGGGAUCUUCGGACCUUGCGCGAUUGAAUGAGCCGAUGUCGGAUUAGCUAGUUGGCGGGGUAAAGGCCCACCAAGGCGACGAUCCGGAGCUGGUCUGAGAGGAUGAUCAGCCACACUGGAACUGAGACACGGUCCAGCCUCCUACGGGAGGCAGCAGUGGGGAAUAUUGGACAAUGGGCGCAAGCCUGAUCCAGCCAUACCGCGUGGGUGAAGAAGGCCUUCGGGUUGUAAAGCCCUUUUGUUGGGAAAGAAAUCCAGCUGGUUAAUACCCGGUUGGGAUGACGGUACCCAAAGAAUAAGCACCGGCUAACUUCGUGCCAGCAGCCGCCGUAA
rnacentral:rRNA from 1 species